UGCAAUGCAAAAUAAACAAAAUGUCGCAUUUUUUUGUGAUCCUGCAUAAUUCGUCAUUUAACCGCAAAAUAAUCGCAAAAAAAUAAAUAAAAGACCUCACAUAACAUAAAAUUAUAAUCAUCUAACUGAAUUAUUUUACGUUACGUGGAUUCAGAUGUUGUUCACGUGAUGACAUCUGUGUAUGUGAGCGGUCUGUCAAGAAACAAUGGCGGCAAAUUUGUCUCACCUGCCUCCUCACAUCACAUCAGUGCCAAGGACCGGGCUAAGCAAUAUCCCGAUAUACUGCACGAGCAGGGGCGGCGUUUUCGUAUGGCAGAGUAUGCAGUUGCCAUACCCUAGCCCAGUCAGGUGUGCCGUGGAAAAUUAUCCAAACUUCAUAUCUCUAUUAUAAUUCGUUAUUAUUAUUUUAAAUCAGAGGGUUUUAAAAAUGUUUAACCAAUGAUAAGCAUUAAAAAGAGCUUGUCGGUAAAACCUCGUAAUGUCAUUGGAUCAUCUCUCAGCGAAACAUUCACCCGCCUCCAUUCAGAUUUACUCGCCGCGCACAGCCUGGAGGAGACAGAUCUCUGCUUUUUCGCAAUGAAAGGGAAAUUCAACACGACUGCCACAGACACAAUCGCACUCCAGUCUGAUUAACUGCAUUUAUCUGCGGAGGACACAGCAAUGGAGGAGCUGAUCUUUGAACCUUCGUUGUGGCAGAAUCCUCCGGGGAGCAUCAGGAUCAAUCUUAGCUGGACAGGAGAUGAAGGUGACGCUGGUCUGGCUUACGCUGAGCUGAUGGGAGAAAAGCUUCCCCUCAGGGCCUUCCUGGUUUACAGUGGCCAUUUGCCGGAGCAGAGCCAACACAUCGAUCUCUCGCCUACAGAUUAUUUACAAAGGCACCAAUCAGUGCGGAAUGUGGAAUGUUCAACUGGGAAGUAUGCUCCUUUUCCGCUCUCUUUCACAAUCUCUGUUCGCUCUCUACUCCAUGUGGCUUCAUUAAGCUGGUCACAGUGCAUUUCCACUCAUUUUUUGAAGCACUACUCCUUGUGUGAGUGGAAUUGGCUAUGACAAUGGCACAUAAAACAUUAGCUGCACCUGUGAGGGUGCAGGGCAUUGUGUGAUAAAGCACCAUAAUCUCCACAAGGACAGCACUGAUAUUUGGGGCACAUAAGCAUGAUAAUGGGAUUCAUAAAUGUCAUAAGGUGACCUCUCCAAACUGAGGGCCGAUUAUCCUUCUGGAUGUGUCAUAUUGUUCUGCUGCGCUUAGAUAUGUUGCUCUCCUGUGGGCUGUUCGGCUUUUCGUGUCCUUUUCACAUGAUAAAGGAAUGUGCUUAAAACAAACGCUCAUUCAGACUACACCGGUGAACUCGGAAUACAUUUAAAAAGGCAGAUAGAGUGGUUUAAAGAGACGGUAUACCAAAAAAGUACAAUUCUGUCAUUACCUGUUGAUUUUUAUGCUGUUGUUUUUUAUAUAAUAAGUAGAGAUUGUAAUUUAAUAUCAGUUCUCUGUAAAAAUCAAAAUUGGUUUUGAUUUCUCUUAAUGUUUAUAGUUUCAUAAUGGUUGCAUUCACGAUUCAUUUAGCACUUUUAAGCAAUUCAUAUUUAGAGGGAAAAAGUGGCAAAUCAUUAGUUGAUUACAAUAAUACAUUAAUUUUAAAUAAAUCUCUUAAGCCAAAAGUUUAAUUUACUUUGUAGACAGAGUAUCAAUGCAGUCCAAUAAUUGGCCUUAUUGAUCAACAACAUAUGCAAUAAUAUAAAUAUAUGUGACCCUGGACCACAAAAUCAGUCAUAAGGGUCAUUUUUAUUUAUUUAUUUGAGAUUUUUGAGACAAUAUUUGGCCGAGAUACAACUAUUUGAAAAUCUGGAAUUUGAGGGUGAAAAAAAUAUAUAUACAGGUGCAUCUCAAUAAAUUAGAAUGUUUCAAAAAGUGAAACUUUCAUAUAUUUUAGAUUCAUUACAUGUAAAGUAAAACAUUUCAAAAAAUUGUUUUGUUUUAAUUUUGAUG